rnacentral:rRNA from 1 species
UACGGAGGGUGCAAGCGUUAUCCGGAUUUACUGGGUUUAAAGGGUGCGUAGGUGGACUAGUAAGUCAGUGGUGAAAUCUCCGGGCUUAACCCGGAAACUGCCAUUGAUACUAUUAGUCUUGAAUACCGUGGAGGUCAGCGGAAUAUGUCAUGUAGCGGUGAAAUGCUUAGAUAUGACAUAGAACACCAAUUGCGAAGGCAGCUGGCUACACGAAUAUUGACACUCAGGCACGAAAGCGUGGGGAUCAAACAGG